rnacentral:tRNA from 1 species
AGUAGAGUGGCCGAGGAUAGGCGGUAAACUGUAAAUUUACAUACGAAAUUAUUUCCUCUACUA